AAGCUGAAAGGAUUUAUUGCCUUGUGACCUUUCGGAGUGGACACUGGGUGGGUGAGUUAGAUUUUUCAUGAAUCUUUAGCAAUGAAUGGCAAUGUACAUCUCCAAUCGUAUUUAAUGAGCGCAACCCUGUCCUUUUGUGUAGUGGGAUGGAAAGCAGUCGGUACAUCUUCGACAAGUCCAUGGCCUAGGAGGUACAUAUCUUCUCUGACGUACAUAUUUGCGAAUCGGAACUGAUUUUGCUUCCCAAGCCUGAUUGAAAAGGACACUCAUCUCAGAUGGCAGACUUCUCGGAGAGAUAGGGGUUGAGAAUGAUACUUCCUUCUUCACAUUUACAUUGGAUCCUUGUGCAGGACCUCAAGGUCUACGUUUCAAGAUAAUGAGAAGGUGCGACAACCAGGGCUUUCGUAUGAAAUAGGAGGUUCUCAAACAAGGACGCGUUCGGAUCUUGUUGCAACGAGGUGUACUUGGUUCUGACCAAGUUAUGUUGAUUACUUUCCCUUUUCGACAAAUAUACUUAAUCAUUUUUCCUCAGGUUUUAUAUCCGAAAGACUGAAAACUCCGUCUGCGCAAGCUAUCUUAAUCGGCUGAGUCGAUUUCAUGGCUCAUUUCGAGCAACGCCUUGUUUCCGUUAGUUCAGAUGGAGCAAUUACGUACGACCACGAGAAAUCCUUUAGGGUAAUUGUACUGUCAGUCAGCAACCGGCUUCCAUGAACUUGGUUGUAGUGAAACAGGGUAACUCCUCAGACAACCUAGGAAUUGCUGUGAGUAUACCAUUCUUGAGCAAAUCCUUUUCGGAAAAGAUGAACUGUAAACUGGCUCUACUGCAGCGAGUUGCAGGAAAGCGCGUCUCCUGAAAGUAACAACUCCUGUGCCACUUGCUUGCACUCUUUAGCAGAUGCCUGAUAUGUUGAACGCUUCUGGAGUCUUCAUCGGCAGCCGUUUGCGACAGAUUUUUACUACGAAUAACCACUUUUAACAGAAGUAGAAAAGCCUUGAAGGAGUGGACUCCAAGAGAGCCACCAAUAUUCUCCAUCUUUUCAACGUCGCCAAAUUCAUGUCUCCAAAACUCGAGUGAAACAAUCUUUCCACAUUCCAGUUAAUUUUAAUUUUUAAAAUAUAUUCAGUUUUAUAGUUGCAGUUUUUUAGCACAUAACCGUGAGCAUUCAAUAACAA
rnacentral:lncRNA from 1 species